rnacentral:misc_RNA from 1 species
UCUCCGUAGGUGAACCUGCGGAGGGAUCAUUACAGAGUUCAUGCCCUACCGGGUCGAUCUCCCACCCUAUGUUAUUAUUACUUUGUUGCUUUGGCGGGCCGUUAGGCUCCGGCCCGACUACUGGCCCCGGCUGGUAAGCGCCCGCCAGAGGACCCAAAACCCUGAAUAUUAGUGUCGUCUGAGUACUAUAUAAUAGUUAAAACUUUCAACAACGGAUCUCUUGGUUCUG